rnacentral:lncRNA from 1 species
UCAGGGGAACCUUAUAGCAGCCUUCCAGUACCUGAAGGGGACCUACAAGAGAGAUUUAGCUGUCUUCCUGAUACAAAUUUAUUUGUUCUGCUAAAAGGGUGUUAGAUGUCAGAUAUUUUCUACUUUUACAUUAUUACUUUUGCUGAAUCUUUCAAUAAUAAAUGAUUUGCAUGCCUUCUACAUAUGUAUUAAAAUACUAUUCUGCAC